rnacentral:rRNA from 1 species
GAUGAACGCUAGCUACAGGCUUAACACAUGCAAGUCGAGGGGCAGCAUGAUCUUAGCUUGCUAAGAUUGAUGGCGACCGGCGCACGGGUGAGUAACGCGUAUCCAACCUUCCCUAUAGUAGAGGAUAGCCCGGCGAAAGUCGGAUUAAUACUCUAUGUUUUCCUUGUUGGGCAUCUUAUGAGGAACAAAGACUCGUCGGUAUGGGAUGGGGAUGCGUCUGAUUAGCUUGUUGGCGGGGUAACGGCCCACCAAGGCGACGAUCAGUAGGGGUUCUGAGAGGAAGGUCCCCCACACUGGUACUGAGACACGGACCAGACUCC